AUUGAACGCUGGCGGCAUGCCUUACACAUGCAAGUCGAACGGCAGCACGGGUGCUUGCACCUGGUGGCGAGUGGCGAACGGGUGAGUAAUACAUCGGAACGUACCUUAUCGUGGGGGAUAACGCAGCGAAAGCUGUGCUAAUACCGCAUACGCCCUGAGGGGGAAAGCGAGGGAUCGCAAGACCUCGCGCGAUUAGAGCGGCCGAUGCCUGAUGAGCUUGGUGGUGGGGUAAAAGCCCACCAAGGCGACGAUCAGUAGCUGGUCUGAGAGGACGAUCAGCCACACUGGGACUGAGACACGGCCCAGACUCCUACGGGAGGCAGCAGUGGGGAAUUUUGGACAAUGGGGGCAACCCUGAUCCAGCAAUGCCGCGUGAGUGAAGAAGGCCUUCGGGUUGUAAAGCUCUUUUGUCAGGGAAGAAACACCGGCUCUAACACAGUCCGGGAAUGACGGUACCUGAAGAAUAAGCACCGGCUAACUACGUGCCAGCCGCCGCCGUAA
rnacentral:rRNA from 1 species